CGGGAGGAAGCCCCGCCUUGUGGGGGGGCGUGGCAGCAGGUGAUUGCUGAGGCUGAGGCUUCUUUAGGCCCCAGCUCUCACCUCCCACUCCCCCUCACAACCAACCCCUCGCCCGCCUG
rnacentral:precursor_RNA from 12 species